rnacentral:misc_RNA from 1 species
ACCCAUUGCCCACAUAUCAACUUUGGAACUAUAGAGGUAUGACUGAAGCAGCACCUCAGGGGCCCGAUACCACCGCGUUGAGACAUACUCCGUAUAGGGUGGUUGUGAAUUGAUUUCUCGAGCAAGACCAAAAUCAGCAAUUUUAAUUAAAUGCUUUGUAACCAACAAGUUCUCUGGCUUCAGGUCACGAUGAAAAUAUCCUCGCUGGUGCAGGUAAGCAAGUCCUUGAAACAAUUGGAAGCACCAAUUCCUGAUUUCAGCUUCAGAGAAUAGCUUCUCUCUGUCUUUAAUAAGUUGGUAAAGGUUGUAUUCCAUGUACUCAAAAACAAAGUAGAGAAUGUCAUUUUCCCGUAUGACUUCCUUGAGUCUCACAAUAUUUGGAUGAUUCAUUCUCCGCAAUGACUUAACUUCUCUCAGAUUAACGCACUCUUCCCAUGAAUAAUAUUUUUUCUUCAUCUUUUUAAUUGCAACAACUUCACCAGACUGCUUAUUAAUCGCUCGCCACACACUCCCAAAUGUUCCAUCACCAACUUCCUUGAUUAACUUGUACCUCUCCAUUCUUCCUUGUGGAAUACAAAGAUGCUCCUCCUUUAUUCACAAAAAGUGCAAGUCUCAAAAACACUAUAUGACAUCUAAGGUAGAUGAACCGUAGUAGAAAGUACAGAAGUCCGCCUGGGUCCAGCUAAUUCUCCAGUUAAUUUUCUGUGGAGGUAAUUGAGAGCACAAAACCAGAAUGUUUUGGAUGGAGGGGCUUAUUCAUUGCUAAACCCGCAACUUCAAGAUAGCAAAAAAGCAUGGAAGGCAGGACAAAACAAAGACCACAAAACAUAUUGGAACCAAACACAGAAGUAGGAACCCACUGGAAUGAUGGUCGUAGACAAUCUUAAGAAAGUCACUAAAAGGUUUGAUAACACAAUAAAGAGCUACCUCAUCUACGCUACAUGGAAAUUGUUCAGUGAGCAGAUAUCUUGACACUCAAAACCAGUACCCAUCAGGAGCAACCAUUUUCUAAGAACUACAGUCUGCAGGGAUUUGAGGUAAGGUCUUAUCUAAUUCUUAAUUACUUAAGCAGCUUUCAUUUGGCUCCUUGCAGACUUUUAACUCUGGAUGACGUGUUCCCAAAAGCUUUGACUGGAUGAUGUAUCAACAAUGCAUUGAAUAAGUGCAAUAAAGAUCUAACACCUAUCUCAGAAAAAUUUUGCAUCACGCCUCUUGUUCUGUUCAUUAAAGAGAAACUGACCA